UCAAAUCCAUAAGGUUGUAACCACUCCCUAGUGUAAAUUUUAAAAAAUUAUUCAGUGUAAAUCUGUCUUUUAGUAGCCUGGUGACAUAUCUGGUGACCUGUCAAUAUAAUGUCAGUUCAUUCAUGUAUUCGCGACACAUGAUUACGUUCGACUUCACUGCAACUCUUGCACUCCUGCACAGGUUAUUUCAUAAUUAUCAUUGUAACUUGUCGCAAUAUUGUAAAAAUUGAUAAACAAUUUUCAAUGAAAACAGGAUAACCUGAGUCUUCAUGAAAGAAGAAUGCCACCUGCUGUAAUUUAGACUUGCAGUUGAUACGUUUACGAAUUACGAUAAAAUGAAGCCAAAAAUAUUGUGGUCACGAAUGAAAACAAAUGUUGGGUUGGUAAAAAAACAAGAUGGGGAAUAACUGAGAUAUUCAGAAUUUGUUUAAAUUAUUGUACAUGAGUAUACGUGAUAAUUAUAUGUGUGGCUAACUAUGAUAUGAUAUGACUCGAAGGACCAGCUCUCUCGGCUGAAAUGAUCAAUUUCGCGAGCAACACCAAAAUUGUCUAUAAUGGGUAGAUCACCUUAAUUAGUCGCAACGGAUGACCAAUUUUUCAUCAAAAAAAUGGGACACCAACAAGUCUUUAACGUUAUGUUUAAUAACUCUAAUAUUUGGUACUACUUAUUAUUUACAAAGUGUACAAGGAAUUUGGUUGAAGGCGAUAGGUCUGGCUAUGCUCCUCCGUCCUGAGGAUUUUAGUGGUAAUAAUGAACAAAAUGGAACUUCACAAAAUUCAGAGGCUAAAAUAAUACGUAUGUUGAAAAUAAUUUGACUGCUUAUUUAAACUUACUGUUACAGGAGUGGUUAGAAACAUUGGGAACACAUAGACCAAAUAACCAAAAAGCAAUUAUUUUUCUGUUGUUAACUUUCUUAGAUCUGAAUCCCAUGGAUUUUAAUACUCGAUGUAAAGUAUUUAAACUUGCUGUAUAUUCUGGAUGUUCUUUCGCAAAAAUAAACAAAUCCUGAAGAGUAAAAAACUCA